UUCAACUGAGUAGUCUAACGUUGUUCCGAUUUUGGUUUUUGUGAACGUUGACAUCGAUUUGUUCCAAAUUUACACUCUCGAGGCAUAAUAGAAAGCUAUUACUCCUUUUUCGAUAGAAUGAGAAAAAGGACUCGUUGCAAAGUUAUACUGUUGUGGCGCAACUGAGUAGUCUAAUGUUGUUCCGGUUUUGGUUGUUGUGAACGUUGACAUCGAUUCGUUCCAAAUUUACACUCUCGGGGCAUAAUAGAACAAUUUAAUUAGGUUUUACUCUUUGUUAGAUUGAACGAGAAAAAAUACUAGAUUCAAAAUUAUACUGUUAGGGCACAACUGAGUAGUCUAAUGUUGUUCUGGUUUUGGUUCUUGUGAACGUUGACGUCGAUUCGUUCCAAAUUUACACUCUCGGGGCAUAAUAGAAAGCUUUUACUUCUUGUUCAAUAGAAUGAGAAAAAGUACUCGUUGCAAAGUUAUACUAUUUUGGCGCAACUGAGUAGUAUAAUGUCGUUCCGGUUUUGGUUUUUGUGAAUGUUGACAUUGAUCGUUCCAAAUUUACACUCUCGGCGCAUAAUAGAACAAUAUAAUUAGGUUUGGGGCUUUGUUCGAUUGAAUGAGAAAACACCCAAAAAGAGAGAGAUUAUCCCAAAUUACACUCUCGGGAAUAGUAGAAAGCUAUUAUAUUCCUUGUUCGAUAGACUAAGAAAAAGUAGUCGUUGCAAAGUUAUACUGGUUGUGGAGCAACUGAGUACCUCUAUAUGUUGUUGACAGUUUGAUUCUUUUGAAUGUUGACAGUUCAUUCGUUCCAAACUUACACUUGUCCGGGGGCAUAAUAGAUAGAAUAUAAUUAGGUUUUGGGGCUUUGUUCGAUGAAUGAAAAAGUACUCGUUGCAAAGUUAUACUGGUCAGGCUCACUGAGUAGUCUAACGUUGUUUCAGCGAUUUUGGUUCUUGUGAACGAUUUCGACAUCCGAUUCGUUCCAAAUUUAUCACUCUCGGGGCAUAAUAAAAGCAUUUCCUUUGUUCGAUAGAAUGAGAAAAAGUAACUUUCGUCGUUGCAAGUUAUACGUUUGGUGCAACUGAGUAGUCCUAACGUAGUUCGCGUUUUGGUUCUUCGUGAACGUUGACACGAUUCGUCCAAAUUUACACUCUCGGGGCAUAAUAGAAAGCUAUUACUCCUUGUUGCGAUAGACAACUGAGAAAAAAGAUACUCGUUGUAAGUUAUAGCUGUUGUGGUGGCACUGAGUAGUCUAAUGUUGUUCGCAAGUUUUGCGUUCUUGUGAACGUUGAACAAUCAGAUUCCAGUUCCAAAUUUAUACUCCUGGGAGAUAGUAGAAGGCGAAUAUAGAUAGGUUGUGCGGUCUUUGUUCGACUUGAAGAAAAAAGUACUACUUGCAAAGUUAUACUGUUAGGGCUCAUUCAGUAGGCUAACCGUUGUUCCGAUUUUGGUUCUUGUAAAGUUGACAUCGAUCGUUCCAAAUUUACACUCUCGGGCAUAAAAGAAGCUAUACUUUUCUUGUUUCGAAGAAUGAGAAAAAGUCCUCGUUGCAAUAGUUUAUACUGUGUGGUGCAAACGAGAAGUCUAAUGUUGUUCCGGUUUUGGUUCUGUGUAACGUUGACAGUUGAUUCGUUCCAGAAUUUAGCACUCUCGGGGCAUAAUAGAACAAUAUAAUUAGGUUUGGGGCUUUGUUCGAUAAUGAAAAAAAGUACUGAGUUGCAAAGUAUAGCUGUUAGGCUCAACUGAGUAUCUAACGUUGUUCCGAUUUUGGUUGCUUGUGAACGUUGACAUCGAUAUCGUUCCAAAUUUACACUCUCGGGUAUAUAGAAAGCAAUUACUCCCUUGUUCGAUAGAAAUGAGAAAAAGUACUCGUUGCUAAAGGUUAUACUAUUUGUGGUGCAACUGAGUAGUUCUAAUGUUGUUUCAGUUUGGUUGCUUGUGAACGUUGACAUCGAUUGCGUUCCAAUUUAACACUCAGCUGGGUAAAUAAAUAAGAAUAAUAUAAUUAGGAUGGACGUUUGUUGAAUUGAAUGAGAAAAUUUAUGUUACAAAGUUAAUACUGUUAGGCUCAAUGAGUAGUCUAACGUUGUUCCGAUUUUGGUUCUUUGUGAACGUUGACAUCGAUUCAUUAGCAAAUUUAUCACUCAUCGGGAAUAGAGAUAAGCUAUUACUCUCCUUGUCGAUAGACUAAAAAAAGUACUCGUUGCAAAGUUUAUACUGUUGUGUGAGGGCAACUGAGUACUCUAAUGUUUGUACAGUUUUGAUUCUUUGGAAGUUGACAUUCUGUCGUCUCAAAUUUACUAGCUCUCGGCAUUAAUAAGAAGCAAUAUAAUUAGGUUUGGGGCUUUUGUUCGAUUGAUGAGAAAAAGUAUGUUUUCGUUGCAAAGUUAUACUGGUUCCAGGGCUCAAUCUGAGUAGUCUAACGUUUUUUCCCGAUUUGGUUCUUGUGGAACGUUGAAACAUCGAUUCGUUCCAUAAUUUACAACGUCCAGGGGCAUAAUAGAAGCUAUUACACCGUUGUCGAUAGAAAUGAGAAAAAGUACUCGUUGCAAAGUUAUACUUGUUGUGGUGGCAACUGAGUAGUCUAAGCGUUGUUCGCGGUUUGGUUCUUGUGAACGUUGAACAUCGAUUCGUUCCAAUUUUACACUCUCCGGGGCAUAAUAGAAACUAUUUACCCUUGUUCGAUAGACUGAGAAAAAGUACUCGGUUGUAAAAGUUAUAACUGUUGUGGUGCAACUGAGUAGUCUAUGUUUUCAGUUUUGGUUCUUGUGAGACUUGACAUCGGAUUGCGUUCCAAAGUUUAUAACUCCCUGGGAAUAAUAGAACAAUAAAUUAGGCAGGUUUUGGUCUUUGUUCGAUUGAAAUGAGAAAAAGUACUACUUNNNNNNNNNNNNNNNNNNNNNNNNNNNNNNNNNNNNNNNNNNNNNNNNNNNNNNNNNNNNNNNNNNNNNNNNNNNNNNNNNNNNNNNNNNNNNNNNNNNNNNNNNNNNNNNNNNNNNNNNNNNNNNNNNNNNNNNNNNNNNNNNNNNNNNNNNNNNNNNNNNNNNNNNNNNNNNNNNNNNNNNNNNNNNNNNNNNNNNNNNNNNNNNNNNNNNNNNNNNNNNNNNNGCAAAGUUAUACUGUUAGGGCUCAACUGAGUAGUCUAACGUUGUUCCGAUUUUGGUUCUUGUGAACGUUGACAUCGAUUCGUUCCAAAUUUACAUUCUCGGGGCAUAAUAGAAAGCAAUUACUACUUGUUCGAUAGAAUGAGAAAAAGUACUCGUUGCAAAGUUAUACUGUUAUAGUGCAACUGAGUUGUCUAAUGUUGUUCCGGUUUCUGUUCUUGUGAACGUUGACAUUGAUUCGUUCCAAAUUACACUCUCGGGGCAUAAUAGAACAAAAUAAUUAGGUUUGGGGGCAUUGCUCCAUUGAAUGAGAAAAAGUACUAGUUGCAAAGUUAUACUGUUAGGGCUCAACUGAGUAGUCUAACGUUGUUCCGAUUUUGGUUCUUGUAAACGUUGACAUCGAUUCGUUCCAAAUUUACACUCUCGGGGCAUAAUAGAAAGCUUUUACUCCUUAUUUGAUAGAAUGAGAAAAAGUACUCGUUGCGAAGUUAUACUGUUGUGGCGCAACUGAGUAGUCUAAUGUAGUUCCGGUUUUGGUUAUUGUGAUCGUUGACAUCGAUUCGUUCCAAAUUUGCACUCUCGGGACAUAAUAGAACUAUUUAAUUAGGUUUUACUCUUUGUUACAUUGAAUGAGAAAAAAUAUUAGUUGCAAAAUCAUACUGUUAGGGCACAACCGAGUAGUCUAAUGUUGUUCUGGAUUUUGUUCUUGUGAACGUUUACGUCGAUUCGUUCCAAAUUUACACUCUCGGGGCAUAAUAGAAAGCUUUUACUACUUUUUCGAUAGAAUGAGAAAAAGUACUCGUUGCAAAGUUAUACUGUUAUGGUGCAACUGAGUAGUCUAAUGUUGUUCCGGUUUCUGUUCUUGUGAACGUUGACAUUGAUUCGUUCCAAAUUUACACUCUCGGUGCAUAAUAGAACAAAAUAAUUAGGUUUGGGGACUUUGCUCCAUUGAAUGAGAAAAAGUACUAGUUGCAAAGUUAUACUGUUAGGGCUCAACUGAGUAGUCUAACGUUGUUCCGAUUUUGGUUCUUGUGAACGUUGACAUCGAUUCGUUCCAAAUUUACAUUCUCGGGGCAUAAUAGAAAGCAAUUACUCCUUGUUCGAUAGAAUGAGAAAAAGUACUCGUUGCAAAGUUAUACUGUUGUGGUGCAACUGAUUUGUCUAAUGUUGUUCCGGUUUUGGUUCUUGUGAACGUUGACAUUGAUUCGUUCCAAAUUUACACUCUCCGGGCAAAAUAGAAUAAUAUAAUUAGGUUUGGGGCUUUGUUCGAUUGAAUGCGAAGAAGUACUCGUUGCAAUGUUAUACUGUUUUGGCGCAACUGAGUAGUCUAAUGUUAUUCCGGUUUUGGUUCUUUUGAACGUUGACAUUGAUUCUGUAACAUACCAGAUUUUGGUAUAAAAAUAAAAAUAAAUAAAAAUAGUGUGAGAAACUAUUUUUAUUGGAUUUGUAGAAGUAAAACAUAAGUCAGAAGUGACUUGUCACGCCCCGCGACCAACUGCCUAUUUGGACCGGGUCGCGGCGCCGACGACAGACCGCCGAACGGACCGGGAAUUCCCCUGUACGCGGACAGAGUCUCCCCAGUACGUCCAAGGCGUCGCAAUCCAAACAAUCAACGAAUGUUCCAACAAGGAACGGAUAUCAAUCCAGAUUGCAUAAGGAAGUAUCAAAUACAUAAUCUACUUGCUAUUACAAGCAUUCAGCUAAGUACAUCUCAAAUCAGUUUACAUUAUACUUCCGAUUUCGAUCAUAAUAAAUAUUACAUAAUUUAUUUUACAAGUUUAGUACAUUUUGAUUCUAGCCUUCCAGAACCCUAAGCUAGACUGCCUCAGGGCACUGCUACCUCAGUCUCUGUGGUGGGGCGCUAUCUACUGAGCUACGCCCUCGCCUCGCGCCGCCGCGCCGCACACGAACGACCUGAAAAUCCCAAAACAACGUGGGGUGAGAACCAAUUCCAUGGUUUCCAGUGGGUACGGCCACCCAAGGGAAAAGCUCGACCGAUAGGUCUAAGUUGGCCCUGCAACAUGUCAGUUCAACAAUAUACAAUGCGAAUAUAUUCAAUUGAAAUACAUGUCAGGCCUAACAAUAUGCGAUAUGAAAUUCAUGCAACAACUAGUAGAUCACUUGGAUUCUACUUUUACUUGACUACUUUAGCUUACAUCUUUACUCUAAGGUCUCUAUUACCUUAGGAUCACAACACAAACCACUAGCUUCUAAGGUUUCUAUUACCUUAGCUCAAGCCCCUAUCUCUAGCUCAUAAGGGUUCCUCUACCCUAUCAUAGCUAACCACCCGACUCGGCUUCGAGUCAAUCAUCCGCGGAUAGCCCGCGCGCUGGCUGCUCAACAGCCUACCGCUCUCAGCCCCCUAGCGGCGAAGUCGUCGCACACGCUAAGCUCGGCUCGAGUCGCACGACCUGUCCAUCUGGUGGCGAUCGCGUUGCUCUUACCCAGCGUGGGCUCGAGACAUGACAUACCGUCUGGCGGCGAACGGAUCGCUCCACACCCAACAACGGUCAUGUCAGACUCGGCCACCUGGAGGCACCCGCAUCGUACUUACCCAGCAUAGUAUCAGUCUGCUCUGGCGGCCUGAUCCUCAAUGGCUUAGCCAUCCUGGCGGCGAAAUCGUCGCACAAACGCCACGGCAAUGGCUCAAGCCCCGGGCGGUGAUCUCCACGUGGUCACGCCCAAUCUACCCACAGUACCAAGCUCGGCGGCGAAGUCGUCGCACACACGCCCUAGCUUGUACUAGGGACAUCAAAAGUCCUGGGAUUCCGGAAUCCACUCUCCACAGGUCGAGGGUUCAUAACCAACCCUAUAUCAUCGACCUAACUCAUCCUAGUGGCUAUACCACUAUACUCAUCAACCUAGGUUCCAACACUCUAGGUUUUAUGUCCAUGUCACUUAACCUAGGUACACUUGCUAGGUUCUUAUCCUCUUUGCCUAGAUGUCCAUUUCUAAGUUUACUAGUUCGACCUAGGUUUACCAACGCUAGGUUCGAUGCCACACACCUAGAUUGUUCGACUCUAGGUUUACUACUCAAUCUAUGUUCUUUAACACUAGGUUAGAUGCCACUCGAUCUACCUGACAACCUAGUUGUCCAAUCAACUCUACUCACACUAGAGUUAUCGUUAUUAUCUACUUAGCUUUCAAGAUGCUACUUUGCAUUCUUUAUCUUAACUAGCAUUAUACACAUGCUACAUUCAUUAUGCCUUCUACUUAGCAUUUCAUCCUUGCAUCUUAUCUAAUAUGCAUUCCUUAUUUUACUCAUGUCUACAUGCACAUGCAUCAACAGGUGAUUACAUUGCUAAGACAUAAAGGGCGACCUAGUCGCUUCGGUAAGCACAACCCACCUUAGAUAGCUUUUUCCGAUUGCACGUCGACACUUGCAAUCGGCCUCCCGCGGCACUCGGCACACGACACCCGCUUGGGCCCGAUCUCACUGUGGCUCCCCAAGAGCGCGCCGCUUCGCUGUUUCGAGUGUCGGCAACCUUCGCCUUGCUGCUACGGUGCUCGGGACCCACUCUCACAAUUUGUGGACGUCGCCUCGGCCUCCCGGGAGAAAACGAAGCUCCGAGCGCCCGCUUCUCCAAUAUCCUCGCAACGGCUUGUCGGAUUGACGAACCGACUUCGCCAACGUGUUUCGUUACCUACCAAUUAGGUUUACAAGGGGUCAAAUGAGAUCAAUCCCAUCUAUUUACAAAAACCCCACUUUGAUGCCCUAGAUGCCAUUAUUGCCAAAUCCACCAAAUCGAUCUAUGAUUUGGGGUGAAAUCAUCUAAAUAGCAUACUAGGGUACCACUAAAUCCAUUUCUAGGGUUUUAGAACCCAUCUACAAGGAACUAUUACAAGAAGCCAUGAAACUCACCUCUCCAAGAGCUCCAAGGAGAAGAAGAAGACGAAGAGGAUGACGAUGACGACGAUCUCCUGCAUCUCCUCCAUCUUCUCCUUCUUUUUCUCCUCUCUUUUCCUUUCUUUCCUUUCUUUCCUUUCUUUCUUCCCCUUCUUUGCUUCGCACGAUCAGAGAGAGGGAGAGAGAAAGAGGCUGAGGGAGUGUGAGAGAGAGAGAGAAAUAUCCCUCUCUAAUACCCUCUCACAUAUUGUAACAAUAUCCCCAAAGGCCCCUCAACUUUUCGUCUCUUACACAGCCCUCUCUGGGCAUCCCGCGCGCGGAGGGACCGGUCUCCCCGACCUGGGACCGGUCCUCGGGGCCUUCCCCCGCGGACACGCGUUCGGGAACCGGUCCCUCCCUGAGAGACCGGUCCUCGGGAGACCGGUUCCUCUCAGAGAGACCGGUUCCCGAGAGCUAUACCUUCGGGACUUAGCCGAUUUUCGGCCCUUCUCACCGAUGUCGCAGGCUGGGACCGGUCCCUCCUCUGCCAGGGACCGAUUGCAUCAGCAACCCCAUAGCCUUCGGCUGAUGNCUAAUGAUAAAGAAUUGCAUAUUCUAAAGAAAGGCUAAUGGUAAAGAAUGACUAAGAGUUGCAUAAUUUGCAUAUUUGUGAGGCAUGAACAUGUAUUGCAUGAUGUUAUAUGUAUAUAUCUGUUGGACUAACAUGUUGCAGUGCCUCCUUUGGACCUGGUGGGUUGAGCACUUCUCUUGGGUGGCUGUACCCACUGAGGACUAUGGACAAUAGUCUCACCCCCGUGUUGUUGUUUUUGGGGGUACAGGUUCACACGCGAGCGGCUUGGCGGCGCGAGGAAAGGGCGUAGCUCCGUAGUUAGCACCCUACCACAGAGACCAGAUAGCAGCACCCUGAGUCGGCUUCUUAGGGGUAAAGAAAAGAAAAGAAAAGAAAAGAAUCGAUGUUGUAAUAUUAUGUUUAGAAAUCGAUUGUAUAUUUGGAAAUUGAGGAUCAAUGUAAUGAAAAAUGCGCUGUAAAAUGAUGAGAUGAAUGAUUGUAAUAACAUAAGAUGUGUUAUGUUGUUUGAUACCUUCCUUAUGCAAUCGUUGUUGAAAAUUGUUCCUGUUUGGAACCUCUUGUACUUGUAUUGAUUGCGAGGCCUUGAACGUACAGGAGAGACUCUGUCCGCGUGCAGGGGAACCCCUGUCCGUUCGGCGGUCUGUUGGCGUGCCCGAAUCCGACCAAAGAGGCGGGCUCGGGGCGUGACAAAAAGUACUCGUUGCAAAGUUAUACUGUUAUGGCGCAACUGUGUAGUCUAAUUUAGUUCCGGUUUUGGUUCUUGUGAACUUUGACAUCGAUUCGUUCCAAAUUUACACUCUCGGUGCAUAAUAGAACAACAUAAUUAGGUUUUAUUCUUUGUUCGAUUGAAUUAGAAAAAAUACCAGUUGCAAUGUUUUAUUGUUAUGGCUCAACUGAGUUGUCUAACGUUGUUCCGGUUUUGGUUCCUGUGAACGUUGACAUCGAUUCGUUCCAAAUUUACACUCUCUGGGCAUAAUAGAAAGCUUUCACUUCUUCUUCGAUAGAUUGAGAAAAAGUAGUCAUUGCAAAGUUAUACUGUUAUGGCGCAACAGAGUAGUCUAAUGUUGUUCCGGUUUUGGUUCUUGUGAACGUUGACAUCGAUUAGUUCCAAAUUUACACUCUUGGGGCAUAAUAGAACAAUAUUAUUAGGUUUUACGCUUUUUUCGAUUGAACGAGAAAAAGUACUCGUUGUAAAGUUAUACUGUUAUGGCGCAACUGAGUAGUCUAAUGUAGUUCCGAUUUUGGUUCUUGCGAAAGUUGACAUUGAUUCGUUCCAAAUUUACACUCUCGGGGCAUAAGAGAAAGCUUUUACUUCCUUUUCGAUAGAAUACGAAAAAGUACUCGUUGCAAAGUUAUACUGUUAUGGCGCAACUGAGUAGUCUA
rnacentral:lncRNA from 1 species